CCAGGCCUCCGUUAGGGCCAAAUCUAAGAGAAUGGUCCUCCAUCACGUCAUCCACCUGGAUGAGCUCACGGAUGUCUGAGGACACAGAAACAAUGGGGUUGUCUUGUAGAAGAAAACAAAACUCAUUAAACAUGUGCAGAAGGAAUCACUUUCUUUCUUAACACAGUAAAUAGCAUUAAAUAUGCACACUCCCCAGUCUCAGUUGUGACAACAUAACAUAACAAUGUUAUGAUAUAUAUUUUAUGGUGUAUUAUUUUGUACUGUGUUUGUAUUGUUGAAAUUGCUAGUUUAGUGUGUUAUUAUUAUACUGUAUCUGAACCAACUCAUCUAUCUGUUAUCAGCAAACCAUAUCUCAGUGCUUCAGUGUUUUUCAAUGUGACCUAAAACACUAUGUAAACCCAAUAUAAGCAUGUAAUAAAUAACAAAACUAUA